rnacentral:rRNA from 1 species
GAUGAACGCUGACAGAAUGCUUAACACAUGCAAGUCUACUUGAUCCUUCGGGUGAUGGUGGCGGACGGGUGAGUAACGCGUAAAGAACUUGCCCUGCAGUUCGGGACAACAUCUGGAAACGGAUGCUAAUACCGGGUAUUAUACUUUAGUCGCAUGACUUUUGUAUGAAAGCUAUAUGCGCUGCAGGAGAGCUUUGCGUCCUAUUAGCUUGUUGGUGAGGUAACGGCUCACCAAGGCGAUGAUAGGUAGCCGGCCUGAGAGGGUGAACGGCCACAAGGGGACUGAGACACGGCCCUU